rnacentral:rRNA from 1 species
AGGACGAACGCUGGCGGCGUGCUUAACACAUGCAAGUCGAACGGUGAACCGGGGCUUGCCCCGGGGAUCAGUGGCGAACGGGUGAGUAACACGUGGGCAACCUGCCCCAGACUCUGGGAUAACUCCGGGAAACCGGGGCUAAAUACCGGAUACGACGCGAGAAGGCAUCUUCUUGCGUGGAAAGUUUUUCGGCUGGGAUGGACCCGCGGCCUAUCAGCUUGUUGGUGGGGUAAUAGCCCACCAAGGCGACGACGGGUAGCCGGCCUGAGAGGGCGACCGGCCACACUGGGACUGAGACACGGCCCAGACUCCUACGGGAGGCAGCAGUGGGGAAUAUUGCGCAAUGGGCGAAAGCCUGACGCAGCGACGCCGCGUGAGGGACGACGGCCUUCGGUUGUAAACCUCUUUCAGCAGGGACGAAGCGAAAGUGACUGUACCUGCAGAAGAAGCACCGGCUAACUACGUGCCAGCAGCCGC